UACGUAGGGGGCGAGCGUUGUCCGGAGUUACUGGGCGUAAAGGGCAUGCAGGCGGUCGCACGCGUGUGGCGUGACAGCGGGUGGCUUAACUACUCAAGCAUGGCACAGACGGUGUGACUUGAGGGCGCGAGAGGGACACGGAAUUCCGGGUGUAGCGGUGGAAUGCGUAGAGAUCCGGAAGAACACCGGUGGCGAAGGCGGCCCGCUGGGCAACUGCUGACACUGAUGCGCGACAGCGUGGGGAGCAAACAGG
rnacentral:rRNA from 1 species